UUCUCCUCCCCUCCCCCCGCCUCGCCCCAGUCCCUUCGCAGACGCGGGCCUUCGCGUGGACGGCCCAGGGACUAGUCGCCAUUCGCGACUGCAGCGUUGACUGCCCCUCCCCACCCACUCGGGGAGCUGGGGAGGGCCCCGGCAGCGAUAGGGACCCGGGUUGUGACGCGGCCUCUCCCCGAGCGUCCCCCAGGGCCGGCGGCGCUGCCUUCUCGGCCCUCCCCGGCCUCGGGCUGGGGCGGGAUCUUGCAGGGCUGGUCUCGGGAGCGGGGUCUCUGGCCCCCGCGUCUCCGGGUCCGCUGGGGACUUGAGCGGGGGCCGUGAACAUCCUUUGUGCCCCACUUCCCCUCCUCCCAGCCUGGGCGUGGGGGCGGGGGGACCGCAUGGAUGCGGUUCCUCUUUCUCUCCCUGGUGUCUGGGCGGCGCCUUUCCCAUUCACUCAUCAGGUCUCCUGGUUUUCUACUCCCCCCCCCCCCCCGAUAUUCCCCAUUGCCUCUCCUGACAGAUCCUUUAGAAUCUCCACAGAAAAAACGUAGGCUCUCCUGAAAACCUGGGCUCAAUGGUGCAAAAUCGAAACCUUGCUGCUCUCACGUUUUUGUUAACAAAAGGCUCCUCUUUCUCUAUACCCCAAAGCACGUCCUCUUGCGGGGAACGUAUUUCUCGCUAGCGUUUUCAUUGAUCGUUCUCGACAUGUCAUCUCCGUUUUUUCCUAACGUGUUUUGUAUUGAAAAGGUUUCACAGGAAAGUGAGUGACCUCGCACCUAUAUCCAUAGCAACCCAGUGAUGUCACACACAAUGACACAGAGGCUGCAAUGCACCUAAGGGCUGGUAGGGAGUAUGCAAGUGGCAUUUGUCCAAGGUAAUGCAGAAAUUAGCAGAUAAGCAGGUGGAAUUGAGGACUUCAUCUUAUCCACCAGAUAAGAAUUGGUCCAGAAAAUAAGAAUAUCAUUUACCUUUAGGCAUGCAGAGCAGUGACCUCUAGAUAUGCCAAUUCAUUUUCCAAUUUCUAGUUUACCCACAAAAGUUUAUAAGCUACAUUUGUAUUUUUAAACAUUUGUCUCAUUGUUAAAAUUGGACAAUAACGGAAUAAAGAUAGAAAUUUUAAACAA